UACGUAGGGUGCGAGCGUUUGUCCGGAAUUAUUGGGCGUAAAGAGCUCGUAGGCGGUUUGUUGCGUCUAUCGUGAAAACCUGCAGCUUAACUGUGGGCUUGCGGUGGAUACGGGCAGACUUGAGUUCGGUAGGGGAGACUGGAAUUCCUGGUGUAGCGGUGAAAUGCGCAGAUAUCAGGAGGAACACCGGUGGCGAAGGCGGGAUCUCUGGGCCUUGCCUGACGCUGGAGGCGCGAAAGCUAGGGGAGCGAACAGG
rnacentral:rRNA from 1 species